UCACUCUCUCCCUGUGUGUGGCAUGCCACAGUGGUAUCCAUCGUGAUAGCACCACAGGUCCCUUCUUCUAUGAUUAUCUGGUGUCUAGAGGAGACAGUGGGCAUACAUCAAUGCUAUGAUCCCCCUCUACAGCCACAGGUUUUAGCUUAACUAUGGAGUUGAUAGAGCUUGUGAGAUCCCCAGAAGUCUCAGGGGUGUGGCUUCAUCUCCAUCUACCCAUACACAGUACCAGCCUGGCCCUGGCAGCAUCUACAGAUGGGUGGGUGUACAAUGGCUGGUACCUCCUUUCAUAUGAGUCUCCUGAGAACAGGGAAGCCUGCAUGUGCUGCAUGUGAAGCUGCCUGAUCUAACACUGAACUGAGGCAUUCCUCCUGACAGCGUCUCACAAACACACCGAGAAACAAACACACUCACAAUGUCAAGUCACGCUACUGAACAUUGAUUACAUUCCUUACAUGCACACUACAAAAGCUUGCCCCACCCCUAUCCCUUAUACACAAUCCUGACACCUUAAACCAAGAUCUGACCCCUAGACCCGGUUAUUUUUCUUUUUUUUUCUUAUAUAUUUUUUAGAAGCAUUACUGCCUUUAUAAUUUUGGGGGUAGAGAUCAUGUGUGUAGAGAGGACAGGAAAUGUGGAGAGAGAGAGAGGGGAAAACAUGGUAAAGGGCCUGGGCCGGAUUCGAACCCAGGCUGCCGGAGCGAGGCCUCAGCCUAAAUGGUGCAUGCGUGCAACUCCGGUAAGUUACUGGGGCGCCCCUAGACCCAGCCCUGACCCCUAGACCCAGCCUUGACCCUUAGGCAUUGUCCUGAACCCUAGACCCAGCCCUGACCGUUAAACCUAGCCUCGACGUAGACUCUUUCUGCUUCUCUCUCCAGGGCAGGUAGUACACCACCCAGAGGCCUUGUGUCUCUGAUAGCAGUACGUCACCAUGGAAAACCAGGAAGAGAGCAGGAAGUUGAACGGUAGCUCCAGCCCCUCGCCCCCGGCCCCUCCUAAAGAGAGCAUGCAGCUGAAGAAGGAGAUCUCCCUCCUCAACGGUGUCAGCCUCAUCGUGGGCAACAUGAUCGGCUCCGGCAUCUUCGUCUCCCCCAAAGGGGUGCUGAUCUACAGCGCCUCCUACGGGCUGUCGCUGGUCAUCUGGGCCAUCGGGGGCAUGUUCUCCGUGAUCGGGGCGCUGUGCUACGCAGAGCUAGGCACUACCAUCACCAAGUCGGGCGCCAGCUAUGCCUACAUUCUGGAGGCCUUCGGUGGCUUCAUCGCCUUCAUCCGGCUGUGGACGUCGCUGCUGAUCAUUGAGCCCACCAGCCAGGCAGUUAUCGCCAUCACCUUCGCCAACUACCUGGUGCAGCCACUCUUCCCUACCUGCGAGCCCCCGUACGCUGGAGCCAGACUGCUGGCUGCCGCCUGCAUCUGCCUGCUGACAUUCAUCAACUCUGCGUAUGUGAAGUGGGGCACCAGGGUCCAAGAUGUCUUCACCUACGCCAAGGUGGCAGCUCUCAUCGUCAUCAUCAUCACCGGCAUAGUCAAGCUCUGCCUUGGUAACACAGUGAACUUUGAGGCUUCGUUCGAGGGCUCGUCAGUGAACCCUGGUGACAUUGCCCUGGCCCUCUACUCUGCCCUCUUCUCUUACUCUGGCUGGGAUACGCUCAAUUUUGUUACGGAGGAGAUCAAGAACCCUGAGAGGAACCUGCCCCUGUCCAUCGCCAUCUCCAUGCCAAUCGUCACGGUGAUUUACAUUAUGACUAACGUGGCGUACUACACCGUACUCGACAUGAGCGCCAUCCUGGCUAGCGACGCCGUCGCCGUGACAUUUGCCGACCACACUCUGGGUGUCAUGAGCUGGACCAUCCCCAUCGCUGUGGCUCUGUCCUGCUAUGGAGGACUCAAUGCCUCCAUCAUUGCUGCCUCCAGGUUGUUCUUCGUGGGAGCUCGUGAAGGUCACCUCCCUGAUGCUCUUUCCAUGAUCCAUGCUGAGCGGUACACCCCUGUACCUGCUCUUCUCUUCAACUGUGCCAUGGCCCUGGUCUACCUGACAGUGGAGGACGUCUUCCAGCUCAUCAACUACUACAGCUUCAGCUACUGGUUCUUCAUGGGGCUGUCCAUCGCUGGGCAGAUCUACCUGCGCUUCAAGGAGCCAGACAGACCCAGGCCUCUCAAGUGCCUCUCUACAGCGACACCAUCAACUCCCUCAUAGGCAUCGGCAUUGCCCUCUCCGGUGUGCCUGUCUACUUCCUGGGUGUCCACCUCCCCGAGGACCGGCGGCCACCCUACGUCACCAAAAUUCUCCAUGCCAUCACCAGUUUUACCCAGUACACCUGCUUCUGUGUUCUGACUGAGUUGGACAAGAGUGAGUAGGACUGCCAUGACACUGCCUUCCUGACUACAACCUCAAGGACUCAACUACAUAUCCCAGGAUCCUUUGCAACCAAGGACUGUUUUACAGCAUGGCUGAACUGACAAGCUGAAACACUGCUGUUUACAAUCGACACUAUGUACAUAUGUUUACACUCAGUCACACACACACGGACAUGGGGCAAAUAGUAAAUAAAGUGUGCACUGUACAAAGUGUGUGUACACACACACACGCACUCGCACACAUUCACACACGUUCCCUUACACUCUCUUUCAAAUACUCUAACACAAGUUACUGUGAAAUGACACAGUGGACUCUCUGUGCCAUAUACAGCAAACUACGGGCCACUGAGGUGCAAGGGUGGUCAAGAACUCGGGUCACAGGUCAUGUGUGACCCUAUGUGACCCAGGCAGGUAAUUGAGGGCAACUGAAUGGAAGCCUUGGCAUUGAAGCCCUCUCCGUCUGCAGGUUCCUGUUCUCUACAGGUAACCCUCUGGUCAAGGUGUGUCCCGCUGAGACCCAGUCAGGAUGGGGGAACGUGUGGAGGUGUGUCAGGGUGGAGGGAAGGCGUCUCUUACAGAUAUAUCUGGAGCUGUGCUCUAGUAAAGGGGCAGCUUACACUGACAUUAGACAGGGAAUCAUAGAAAUGCAGUACAAAACAGUAUACACAAUACAGUAUAUAUAUUUAUUAUAGACAUACAGUAUACAUUCACAAUAAAUACUUAUUUGUCACAGA